rnacentral:rRNA from 1 species
UUCCGUAGGUGAACCUGCGGAGGGAUCAUUACCGAGUUUACAACUCCCAAACCCCUGUGAACAUACCAAUUGUUGCCUCGGCGGAUCAGCCCGCUCCCGGUAAAACGGGACGGCCCGCCAGAGGACCCCUAAACUCUGUUUCUAUAUGUAACUUCUGAGUAAAACCAUAAAUAAAUCAAAACUUUCAACAACGGAUCUCUUGGUUCUGGCAUCGAUGAAGAACGCAGCAAAAUGCGAUAAGUAAUGUGAAUCGCAGAAUUCAGUGAAUCAUCGAAUCUUUGAACGCACAUUGCGCCCGCCAGUAUUCUGGCGGGCAUGCCUGUUCGAGCGUCAUUUCAACCCUCAAGCCCAGCUUGGUGUUGGGACUCGCGAGUCAAAUCGCGUUCCCCAAAUUGAUUGGCGGUCACGUCGAGCUUCCAUAGCGUAGUAGUAAAACCCUCGUUACUGGUAAUCGUCGCGGCCACGCCGUUAAACCCCAACUUCUGAAUGUUGACCUCGGAUCAGGUAGGAAUACCCGCUGAACUUAAGCAUAUCAAUAAGCGGAGGAAA